GAAAGAUUGGUGCCAGGUAUUAGUACAGGUCUCAGUAGGUUACAAUCCCUUAGCCAUGUUGUCUGAGUGAUUUUUGGAGGACUUUUCAAACAGAACUUUUUAGACCAAAUUCAACACAUCUUUUUUUAUACGACAUAGAUAUUUGACAAAGAGUCAUGAUUCUAGAAAACUUCUGAAAAGAUCAGAAAGCAAACAAUCCUUUCCCUUGACUGAAACAACAGCACACCCGUUUCUCCGACUUAUCUAGAUGUUAUUGAGACGAGUCAAAGGUUUUCACAAAAUCUGCGCUUGGAUUUCAUUGACUUCGAACAUAAGUGCCAUGAGGAACUCGCACAGAUCGUAGACGAAAGGAAAAAAAUGAGCAAGAAAUACAAAAGGAUGUUGAAAACCAUCACCAAGAAGCCGACUGACGCAAGGUUAAGAACAGAGAAAUUUCUUGCCCAAAUGGAAAGUGCAAAGCCACGGCAAUAUGGAACAACUGUUUAAAGACUUCUAGCCUUAAGAGGUGCGUGGCAACAGCUGAAUUUGAUUCAGUGACAUAUUUGUUAUUAAAUGUACCCCUUUCUUUCAAGUCAAUAAAAAUGAGACAGUGCAACUUUUUUUUUUUUG
rnacentral:lncRNA from 11 species